CCUACUCGGAUUAUUCUUUGACAGACAUUGUUUUAAUCUUUAUUCUGAAUUAGGAAAGGGAAGACAUUGUAUUCGCUGAAACCAUGGUUAGCAGUCAUGUACUCCUUUCAUUAGUAUUAUUGAUUUCACUGAUGUCGUUGUCAACAGAACAGAAACAUAAGUGUAAAGAUGGCCAGGUUUAUUAUGUAAAGGAAUUUGGUUCAGGAAUAAAACAUGAAAUAUGUAUACCUUCACAAUGUUUAGAAGACCCAGUUAAAGGACCCUGUCGAGCUCGUCAUAUCCGGUGGUAUUAUAAUACUUCAACUAAACAAUGUGAACAGUUUAUAUACGGUGGAUGUAAGGGCAAUCAGAAUAAAUUCCGUACUAAAAAGGAAUGUGAAGAGACAUGUAUGCUUGAAGAACAAUACUGAAUAUAAAUAUAAUAUGUACUCUCACCUAUCAUUCAGAUUAAUCUAUACCGCAUCUACCAUUCAGAUUAAUCGAUACCCAUCCACCGUUCUGAUUAAUCUAUACCGCAUCUACCAUUCAGAUUAAUCGAUACCCCAUCCACCGUUCUGAUUAAUCUAUACCGCAUCUACCAUUCGGAUUAAUCGAUACCCCAUCCACCGUUCUGAUUAAUCUAUACCCCACCCAUCAUUCAGAUUACCCGAUACCCCAUCCACCGUUCUGAUUAAUCUUACCUCACCUCACCUCACCAUCCAGAACAAUCUAUACCCCAACCUCAUUGGUUAUAAGUAGCCACAGUUGCGGUACACGAGACAGAAUAUGCCUGCUGUGUUUAGAACAUAAUAUGCUGCCACUUCUAAUUACUGAGCAAUAUUUCUACUUGGCUUCACUAAUCUUUAUCAGGAAAUGAAACAAUACAAAUGUCAUAUAUUAUGUAGAAGUGAGAGGAGAUGUAUUUUCGUGUAUUUUGUAAAAAACUCAAAAUGCUUAAGAAAGGUUUGGUAGCAAUGGUGGCACAGAGGGUGAGGCGCGCAUUCUCUAACCAGGAGCACAGGGGGUAGGUCGGGGUGUUGGUCAAGACAGUUCACCAGGAUUUUCCAGUGUUUUUUCUCGCUGUCAAUGGCACAGGACGUUAAAGUUAUCGAAUCGCAUUUAACAGUAGGCCCUACCACUGCUACUAGGGUAAAUUUUCCGGCAUGGCGUAUUAUUCCGUUUGAUACAAGACAUUAGUACGAGCAUUAAACGUGCGUGUUUCUUGUUUUAAAUAAAAGGCUGUGUUGCAGUAUAUAAAUCUCCAAGGGACACCUCCGGAUUUCAUUGCUACUGUCAUUGAAUUAUAAGCCCGGAAGCCGUCGCAUUCUAUAUCAGAUCCGGUUAUG